rnacentral:rRNA from 1 species
UACGUGGGGGGCAAGCGUUGUCCGGAUUUACUGGGCGUAAAGGGCUCGUAGGUGGCCAACUAAGUCAGACGUGAAAUCCCUCGGCUUAACCGGGGAACUGCGUCUGAUACUGGAUGGCUUGAGUUCGGGAGAGGGAUGCGGAAUUCCAGGUGUAGCGGUGAAAUGCGUAGAUAUCUGGAGGAACACCGGUGGCGAAGGCGGCAUCCUGGACCGACACUGACACUGAGGAGCGAAAGCCAGGGGAGCAAACGGG